rnacentral:lncRNA from 1 species
UUCACUAACUUUAAAAAUCGAACUCAGCUGACAACUCUAUAAUCUAGCGACUAACUCAAGUACUCAACUAACAGAGUACUCAAACGGUAAUCCUUUCAAAGACUAUACAAUCUACUAUCUGAAAUUUACAGGUUUUACACACUAGUGCUUAAACACAAAUAAGAAAAAUAAAGUGUACCAACAUGAGUUGUGGUGCAUUGGCGGGAGUGUCUCACCUUUAACUAGAGAUCUCGUGUUCAAGCUUUGGAUAUGGAGAAAAUCUUGUUGAGAGCGCCACCUCCGAAUGAAUCCUGCACUGCGCAAUUCGAAUAUAGUCGAGACUUCAAUAUGAGCUCUUCAAACACCGGAUAGGAAAAAAAAAAAAAAAGAGAAAUAAAGUGUAACAACUUAGCACAUCAACUUACUAUUGUGGUCCAUUUAUAUCUGCUUUGUAGUGAACCUCGAUCAGACUGUAGCUACAGUUUAAGGUGUCUCGUUUGUAUAAUUUGCGGGUAUGUUUGUAUAAUUGAACUAUUUUUGUAUAAAUUCGAAAUAACGAAUUUAUACAAACAUAAACAUCUGAACUUCAUACAAAUUAUAUUAUACAAAAUUACAUUAUACAAACGUUAUACAAAUUAUAUUAUAUAAAUUUUGAAUUAUACAAACGUGCAAAUUAUACAAACUUGAAACCUCAGCCCAUGUAAUUAUCACUAAAUAUUGUCGCGAGUGGUAAUUAACUAAAUCUAUAUACUUAUGAUGACUAAUUAACUAAUAUAUAUUUGCUUAACCACGUAAUUUUCCUUUUAUCAUUCAUCAAAACAUGGACCUUCCAUCCAGCACCCUUUAAAUUUGUAACAACAUGUAAUUUAACAUCUUUAGCACUAAUGAACAUGCCAGCCACAUGGAAAGUAUAUCAUGAUCAACAAUUAGAAAACACUACUCAACACAUGUUGAUUAAUUUUUGGAAAAUCAAUUAUUUAAUAGUUUGCUAUUAUUUCCAAAGAAGAAUUAGUUAUUUACACACACAAUUUUCAUACCUUUGAACUUCAAAAUUAAUUUAACAAGUACAUUUUAUUUAUUAUCAGAAAAAACCACAUUCUCAACACAUGUUGAUUAACAGAGAUACAAAAAGUUCAAGCUCAAACAGGUAAAUUACAGCACAAUAAAGAUAAAUUGAACAUACUAAUGCCAUAUAAAUUAUAAUUAGAGAACAAGACAUGAUAGAGCCUAUUUUUUGAAGAAAACAUUUUUCAUCAAAAAAUAUUUUCCUCCGUACCAAAUACACCCUAAAUGUUUGUUUCAUGGAGGAUGUUAUUAACUUUUUUUCUGGAGGAUGUUAUUACUUAUUAUUAUUAUGAAUAUGAACAUAUGAUCAAAAUUCUAGCAUCAUGGUAUUGAUCUGAUAUCACAACUAUGAGCAGUGGUAGAUUCAGAAUUUUUCAUUAAGAAUGUUCGAAAAAUAAAAAUGUAAUGCCUAGGAUUAAAACUUGAAACUUCAAGGUGAAUUUUCAUUUUCUAAACCACUAAGUCAAUCUCCAGACUCAUAUUCAAAGAUUCAAAAUUUCUCUCAAUAUAUAUACACUAAAAAAAAGUACCUAAUAAAUAUAAUAUAUUUUUUUACCUAAGAGUUCGACUCCCUCGCUCUUUCCUAGAUCCACCCCCGACUACAAGAAACAGGAAAUUCAAAAUUUCUCUCAAUAUAUAUACCUAAGUACAAACUUCCUGGUAAAACUUCUUGCCCAAAUGAGUAUCUCAAAGUAUGUCAAUUAGACAUUUGUUGGAAUACUCAUUUGAGCAAGAGGCUUUCCCAAAGAAGUGAAUGCAAAUAUGAGUCUCCUCCAUGAGAAAGUAAAGGAAUAUGUAUAGUCAUGUUACCUGCCAAAAACUCAGAGUUGGUUGUACCAGCCUUAUGUUUUUGAGUUGUUGGAUGUGUGUAUAUAUAAAUACUAAACAUCGUAACAUGUCACAACACUUAGACAUGUUAUUAUAUUCAGCAUUAUUCUUAUACAC